UUAUUUUGUCUUAUCCAUCUAGUAUUGUUAAUUUGUAUAUGCAUAUACUUUGGUUGCAAAUUAACAAUACUAGAUGGAUAAGACAAAAUA